rnacentral:rRNA from 1 species
CCUACGGGUGGCAGCAGUCGAGAAUCAUUCACAAUGGGGGAAACCCUGAUGGUGCGACGCCGCGUGGGGGAAUGAAGGUCUUCGGAUUGUAAACCCCCGUCAUGUGGGAGCAAAUUAAAAAGAUAGUACCACAAGAGGAAGAGACGGCUAACUCUGUGCCAGCAGCCGCGGUAAUACAGAGGUCUCAAGCGUUGUUCGGAAUCACUGGGCGUAAAGCGUGCGUAGGCUGUUUCGUAAGUCGUGUGUGAAAGGCGCGGGCUCAACCCGCGGACGGCACAUGAUACUGCGAGACUAGAGUAAGGGAGGGGGAACCGGAAUUCUCGGUGUAGCAGUGAAAUGCGUAGAUAUCGAGAGGAACACUCGUGGCGAAGGCGGGUUCCUGGACAUUAACUGACGCUGAGGCACGAAGGCCAGGGGAGCGAAAGGGAUUAGAUACCCCUGUAGUC